GUUUGUAAAGUGCGGGGCCUGUGUGCAGGGGAUCUUUAAUCGUGACUGGCAUACGUGCUCCAUGGAAGCGUGAAGAGACAGCAGCUACACACGCUCCCCAGAAGGGCCAGAUCUAUACAUGUAGCUAAAACUAGCUCUGGGCGCUAAAAAUCCAUCUAGUUAACAGGAAGAAACGCUGUUCCUAGGCGGGUCUUGUGAGGCCACAACGGUGACUUCCUUUGCCCUCACAUUUGUGGCUUAGUGGCCAUGAGGAUGGCCUCUGAGCAGCCCACAUCCCCUUUGCACCUAGCACCCAGCUGCUGAGUGCGUUGAUUGUCAAGGGCUCUCAGAGUCCCAAGCCCUGAGUUGCUCUCUCAGGAUGGAAUAACUACAGAGCAGCCAGCCCGGGCAUUCCUGGGAUCAGUCCGUGCUAGACUCCUCAGAAACCCGUGCUGGCUCACAGCUGCCCUCCCUAGUCAGUUUCCCUCGUGGAUCUUCCUGAAGAAUGCACUCCCAGGAAGUCCCGUGCGCUCCCUUGGCCUGUCUCAGAUUCUGCUCAUCAAGUGUCCUGGAGCCAAUGGCAUGAAAUCUGGUCUGUAGACUGUGUGAGGCAGAGGAAGGAGACAGCAUGAACUCAGGAUGGUGCACAGAGUAACACCCCAAGUUGAAGCAGCAAGUGACCAUGCCCCAAAAGCACUUCGGAGGCAGAGACAGGAAACUUCCAGGCCAGCCUGAGUGAGUUCCAGGAUAGCCGGAACUACACAGAGAACCCUGUCUCAGAACAACCAACCAACCAACCAACCAACCAACCAACCAACCAACCUCGCAGAGCUGAGGGCACAGCUCAGUGAUGGAGAACCUGCAUGCCAUUCACACAACCCUAGGAUGGCUCUACAGGACUGCAGAUAAACAGAUAAACUCGGUUUCUGGUCAACAUCAGUAUUUUAUUAAGAUAUCUUCCAUUCAGAAGGAGUGGGAAGUGGGGAGACAGGGUAACAAGGGCGAACAUCCAAAUACACUGUUUACAUACGUGAAAUUGUCAAAUAAAAACAUUUCCCCCAAGAUGAAAGC